AGGCCUGUGGGGCGUCACGCGCUCUUAAGCGUCACUUCUUCGCGCUGCGCUCGUGCGUUUCUCUGACCUCUGCAGACAGAGCGCGGUCCUGAACUCCAGGGAAAUGGCUCCUCCAGUGCAAGUGUCGCCGCUGAUUAAGACAGCCAGGUGGUCUGCAUUGCUCAUUGGUAUUAUCUACGGAAAGCGCAGAUAUGAUCAUCUGAAACCAAUAGCAGAGGAGGAGAGGAGAAUAGAAGAGGAGGAGAAGAAGGUACGAGAGGAGAAGGAACGCAUUGCUAAACAGCUAGCGGAAGCUAACGAGGACACAAUCUUGAAGUGAGCUGCCCAAAAUUAUGCCUGUAUCGCUUCUAUUGUAAAGAUCUCGUUAACUGUCUGGAUAAAGAAUGAUGCUUGUAUUCUGCCACUUUGGUUUUACCGUGCCCUUUUCACACCUUCCACUGUUUUCUUAUAGGUCAUGUUAGAUUAAUGCCUCAUUUGUGAAAUAACUGGAUACAUGAAAAUAUGUGCAUCAGUUU